rnacentral:rRNA from 1 species
GAUGAACGCUGGCGGCGUGCCUAAUACAUGCAAGUCGAGCGAACAGACGAGGAGCUUGCUCCUCUGACGUUAGCGGCGGACGGGUGAGUAACACGUGGAUAACCUACCUAUAAGACUGGGAUAACUUCGGGAAACCGGAGCUAAUACCGGAUAAUAUAUUGAACCGCAUGGUUCAAUAGUGAAAGACGGUUUUGCUGUCACUUAUAGAUGGAUCCGCGCCGCAUUAGCUAGUUGGUAAGGUAACGGCUUACCAAGGCGACGAUGCGUAGCCGACCUGAGAGGGUGAUCGGCCACACUGGAACUGAGACACGGUCCAGACUCCUACGGGAGGCAGCAGUAGGGAAUCUUCCGCAAUGGGCGAAAGCCUGACGGAGCAACGCCGCGUGAGUGAUGAAGGUCUUCGGAUCGUAAAACUCUGUUAUUAGGGAAGAACAAAUGUGUAAGUAACUAGGCACGUCUUGACGGUACCUAAUCAGAAAGCCACGGCUAACUACGUG